UACGUUUCUUGGCCUUUUGACUAAGAUCAAGUGUAAUAUUUUUUUCUGAUCAAUUUAAUAUUUGAUAGAUAUUAACUUUGUUUAUUUAAGAAAGUCCCAAUUGAUUGCUUGCUACUCUGGCGUUUAAGCGUUCGUGCAUUAAACCACUGUAUUGGCCUGAAGCACUUCAA
rnacentral:snRNA from 1 species